GAUCAUGGCUCAGGAUGAACGCUGGCGGCGUGCCUAACACAUGCAAGUCGAGCGAAGCGAUUUGGAAGAAGUUUUCGGAUGGAAUCUGAAUUGACUGAGUGGCGGACGGGUGAGUAACGCGUGGGUAACCUGCCUCACACUGGGGGACAACAGCUGGAAACGGCUGCUAAUACCGCAUAAGCGCACAGCUUCGCAUGAAGCAGUGUGAAAAACUCCGGU
rnacentral:rRNA from 1 species